CUUGCUAAUUUGCUGACGACCGGCGCACGGGUGCGUAACGCGUAUACAAUCUACCUUUUGCUGAGGGAUAGCCCAGAGAAAUUUGGAUUAACACCUCAUGGUAUCAUCGAUUGGCAUCGAUUGGUGAUUAAAGGUUACGGCAAAAGAUGAGUAUGCGUCCUAUUAGCUAGAUGGUGUGGUAACGGCACACCAUGGCAACGAUAGGUAGGGGCCCUGAGAGGGGGAUCCCCCACACUGGUACUGAGACACGGACCAGACUCCUACGGGAGGCAGCAGUGAGGAAUAUUGGUCAAUGGACGAAAGUCUGAACCAGCCAUGCCGCGUGCAGGAAGACUGCCCUAUGGGUUGUAAACUGCUUUUAUAUAGGAAGAAACCCAGAUACGUGUAUCUGGCUGACGGUACUAUAAGAAUAAGCAUCGGCUAACUCCGUGCCAGCAGCCGCGGUAAUACGGAGGAUGCAAGCGUUAUCCGGAAUCAUUGGGUUUAAAGGGUCCGUAGGUGGAUUAAUAAGUCAGAGGUGAAAUCCUGCAGCUCAACUGUAGAACUGCCUUUGAUACUGUUAAUCUUGAGUCAUUAUGAAGUGGUUAGAAUGAGUAGUGUAGCGGUGAAAUGCAUAGAUAUUACUCAGAAUACCGAUUGCGAAGGCAGAUCACUAAUAAUGUACUGACACUGAGGGACGAAAGCGUGGGGAGCGAACAGGAUUAGAUACCCUGGUAGUCCACGCCGUAAACGAUGGAUACUAGCUGUUGGG
rnacentral:rRNA from 1 species